GCGAGGAUGGCGGAACUGGUAGACGCGCUGGGUUUAGGACCCAGUACCUUUGGUGUGGGGGUUCGAGUCCCCCUCCUCGCACCA
rnacentral:tRNA from 1 species